GUGUUUGGCCUUGUCGGCCUUCUGACUAGUUGUCUUUUUUGGUUGUGGCCUUUUCGUCCCUAGUUAUGCAUAUAUGUUUCGUUAGGCCUUUUCUGCUUGCAGGUUGUCAUGAUAUACUUCUUACAAUUGUUAUUCAGCGGCCUUGUCGGCCUAUGAUCCACGUUACAGAGUUCAGAUAUCAUAGUUGAUUCGCUCGGCCCUUCGGGUGCCGGGUGCCGGCCACACCCCCAAGGUUGGGGCGUGACAAAAAACUUCUAUUACGCAGUCUUACUACCUUUGAGAAUCUUUGGCAUAUAUGUUUGAAAUCUGUCUGUUUAACGGCCUUAAUAAUGGUGCCCUACAAUGCUUCACAUAAAAUUAGAAGGGUAUAGAAGAGUGGUUCGCUUUUAUAGAACCUUUUUGAUGUUGGGGUUUCAGGAGAUCGUUACUGUGCUGCUUAGAUAGUACCAAAUUUUGGUCUCUUUGUCUACCGGUUUCUCAUUUAAAAUCCUUUUUCCUCAUGUUUCCUUAGUAUCCUUGCUGCUAUUUUUGUUGAAUCCAUUGACAAAUUAGAAUUAGAAAUUUUGUUAUUUCCUUUAUAUAGGUGUAGUUUCGAUUCCAAAGUCAAAUGAGAACUUCCGACUUCUUUAUGCCGCUUCCGUCUCCACUCAAUCACGGAUGAGGAAGCCAAGAAACUAAUUUGUAAAGUUUGAUUGGUGCAGUUCGGACAGAAGGAGAUCCCGUAUCUUACUACUUAUGAUGAAGAACAAUCGGCUAACCUGAUCCCCUCAUCAAGGCCAAUGACACCAUCAAGCUGGACCUACUUCAAACACUAUGUGUUAACUGUAAAUUGCAAUAAGAGGUGUCGAACAGUGGCGUCAAAGAGGGAAUAAAUCUGAAGUAACUAUGAAGUCGGAAGACAGAGCAAAAGCCAUGGCUUUUGCCGAAUUAUAUUGCAAUGCAGAAAAAAAAUGAACUACUGAUGACAUGUAAUAAGGGCGGUCACAGCAUGCUUUGAUGCAUUUGAGCAGCUUCGUACAAUCUAUAAAUGUUUUAAGCAAGCAGAAGAGGAAUAAUAUCAGAGUAGGGGAAAAGCAGAGGAAAAGCCUGAGCGAAAUAAGUGAGGGACAAGGAUUAAGUAUGUUCAAACUGCUGCUAAGGAGUUCCUUGAGAAAGCUUUCCGUGAGUUUCUGGGCGAAAACUUUAGUGGUUUUAAGGGGCCUUUAUGACUGCUUGGGGGUGAUAAUGAAGAUAUACCUAUGAGAUGAUUUGUAUGGUAGAUUUUGAGCUCAUCUAUUCCAAUUUAGAGUCUUUUUUUCAUGGAUUUCAUAUCUGCUAUGCCUUCUAUAUUGAUUUAUCUUCUCAUAAGAUUUUCGUGAUCUUUUUCUUUUAGUUCCAAGUGGAAUAUAUAUAUAUAUAGAUGGGGAUAGAAUACUGUUAUAUUUGAAUAAAUCCCUUAUUUUUAAA